rnacentral:rRNA from 1 species
GACGAACGCUGGCGGCAUGCCUAAUACAUGCAAGUCGAGCGAACAGAUGAAGUGCUUGCACUUCUGACGUUAGCGGCGAACGGGUGAGUAACACGUAAGGAAUCUACCUAUAAGCGGGGGAUAACAUUCGGAAACGGGUGCUAAAACCGCAUAAUAUCUUCUUCCGCAUGGACGAAGAUUGAAAGACGGCUCUUCUGUUACGUAUAGUUGACCUUGCGGUGCAUUAGUUAGUUUGUGGGGUAAUGGCCUACCAAGACGAUGAUGCAUAGCCGACCUGAGAGGGUGAUCGGGCACCUUGGGACUGAGACACGGCCCAAACUCCUACGGGAGGCAGCAGUAGGGAAUCUUCCGCAAUGGGCGAAAGCCUGACGGAGCAAUGCCGCGUGAGUGAAGAAGGCCUUCGGGUCGUAAAACUCUGUUAUAAGAGAAGAACAAAUUGUAGAGUAACCGCUACAGUCUUGACGGUAUCUUAUCAGAAAGCCACGGCUAACUACGUGCCAGCCGCCGCCGUAA